GACGAACGCUGGCGGCGUGCUUAACACAUGCAAGUCGAACGGAAAGGCCCUGCUUUUGUGGGGUGCUCAAGUGGCGAACGGGUGAGUAACACGUGAGUAACCUGCCCUUGACUUUGGGAUAACUUCAGGAAACUGGGGCGAAUACCGGAUAUGAGCUCCUGCUGCAUGGUGGGGGUUGGAAAGUUUCGGCGGUUGGGGAUGGACUCGCGGCUUAUCAGCUUGUUGGCGGGGUAGUGGCUUACCAAGGCUUUGACGGGUAGCCGGACUGAGAGGGUGACCGGCCACAUUGGGACUGAGAUACGGCCCAUACUCAUACGGGAGGCAGCAGUGGGGAAUAUUGCACACUGGGCGGAAGCCUGAUGCAGCAACGCCGCGUGCUGGAUGACGGCCGUCGGGUUGUAACCCGCUUUCGCCUGUGACGAAGCGUGAGUGACGGUAAUGGGUAAAGAAGCACCGGCUAACUACGUG
rnacentral:rRNA from 1 species